rnacentral:lncRNA from 1 species
UCCCGCGCAUCCUUUUCAGUCAUGCACGCCUCCCUUCUCGUGCUUCUCCGCCCACUUUCUCUUUACUUGCAGUCGGACGAUAAUUCAGAAUACGCCGCUGUAUCCGAAGAGUUUGAGGAGAUGGAUGGAGAAUUAUUUACAGAUUCAAAGCAGGAUUGGGCCAGUGCAUCUGAAUCUGACUGGAUGAACGAGACGGGGAAAGGGAAAGGAAAACAAGGGGGGAAAAGAAAGAUGAAUCAACAAAACAGUAGCAAGAAGAAAAUAGCCAGAAGUAAAAACUUUAGGCUUCCAGACCUGAAGAAGAUGAAUGCUGAAUCAGUUAUGAAGCAGAUUAAGCCAGAAUGUGAACUGAAGGAAAACUGCUCAGAAACUGAUUUUAAUGAAGAUGACAGAAGGAGAAUGAAAGAAAAAACGAAAAAGCAAAGAUGCUUCAAGCAGAGUUACAACAAGAGACCAUUUUCCCACCAAAUAUCCAGUGUAAACGGGCAAACCAAGAAUAAAAAUGACACAGGGGUAGACGUAACAGAUGUCUUUCAAGAAGUCAGAAAUAAGAAACUGCUGGCUGUUCGUUGUGGAAAAAUGGCAGGUUGUCUGUACAGAAUAAAAUAUGACAAUGGUAAGUUUUGGGAGUACAAAAAUAAUUAUUAAUUGUAUUUAUUUUUC